UACGUAGGGGGCAAGCGUUGUCCGGAAUCAUUGGGCGUAAAGCGCGUGUAGGCGGCCAGAAAAGUCCGCUGUGAAAACUCGAGGCUCAACUUCGAGCUGUCGGUGGAAACUUUCUGGCUAGAGUCCGGAAGAGGAGAAUGGAAUUCCUGGUGUAGCGGUGAAAUGCGCAGAUAUCAGGAAGAACACCCGUGGCGAAGGCGGUUCUCUGGGACGGUACUGACGCUGAGGAGCGAAAGCAUGGGUAGCAAACAGG
rnacentral:rRNA from 1 species